rnacentral:rRNA from 1 species
AGCGAACGCUGGCGGCAUGCUUAACACAUGCGAGUCGCACGGGCAGGGGAAACUCUGUCAGUGGCGGACGGGUGAGUAACGCGUAGGUAUCUAUCCAAGGGUGGGGACAACCGCGGGAAACUGCGGCUAAUACCGCAUGACGAGCCAUUCUGAGAGGGAUGGUUCCAAAGGCUGCAAGGUCGCCUAUGGAGGAGCCUGCGUCCGAUUAGCUAGUUGGUGGGGUAAAGGCCUACCAAGGCAUCGAUCGGUAGCUGGUCUGAGAGGAUGAUCAGCCACACUGGGACUGAGACACGGCCCAGACUCCUACGGGAGGCAGCAGUGGGGAAUAUUGGACAAUGGGCGCAAGCCUGAUCCAGCAAUGCCGCGUGUGUGAAGAAGGUCUUCGGAUUGUAAAGCACUUUCGACGGGGACG